rnacentral:lncRNA from 1 species
CGGAAAUGAUCAUACGUAGUUUCGAUGCAGUAGAAUCUGUAUUCGUUGUAAUCAUCAAAAUCAAGCUGCGAAAACAGAAAUUCUAUUAUAUUAUUUCCUUUUAAGUAUCUCUCUUAAAAUUUUCUAUGUUCUCUGGUUGUUUGUGUUGAAACUUUGUGCCCAGAAACAGAAUACUUUGUUAGGAGUUUUACUUGGUCAUAUUUGGAUUUUUGAUUUCUCCUCUUCUUUAAGAAUCUUUAUAGUCAAGGGCUUUCGGUGGGAAAAAAAGCAGAAUAUUUUGAAUGGUGGUUAUUAUAUAUGUUUGAAGACUAGUCAUGUAAUUGAUUGUUUUUGAGGGUAUUCCUUGAAGAAUCCUCAAGUGGGUAUCUCUGAAAUUUGUAAAAAUUGAUAUUUAUGUGCCUGGAUUUAAUUUUUAGUCUUUAUGCUUAUAUGGGUGGGUUUCUUGGAAAUAUCGGUUUUGAUGUUUAGAAUAGUCCUCAAAUGCGUAUGAUUGAUUUUAAACAGAGGAAGUUUUAACUGUUGUGAUGUUAGGGGAAGAAAAUAAAGACGGACCUGGCGGAGGAAGUUGGAAAACGUACUUACGGUCGGUUUCGUGGAGUGACCGAUCACCUGGAAAGACAAAUCCUAGGCCACGAUGGAACAGCAAGGCUCGGGCUUGUUUGCCUCCCCUUCAGCCUCUUUCGGUUACUAGGCCUAGCGGGGAGGAAUGGCCGAGGGCUGGCUCGGAUGAUAUUGGCAUAUGGGCGAAUCCCCCUACUACUCCUGGUGCACGGCUUGGAUCAACGACUCCCCGCGGAAAUUCAAAUUCAGAAAAACCUCCUAGAGAAUUUGAAUUCAAGAAAGAUAAGCUCGCGUUCUUUGAUAAGGAAUGCUCGAGAAUUUUGGAUCAUGUAUAUUUAGGAAGUGACGCUGUUGCAAAGAAUCGUGAAUUGUUACGGAAGAAUGGAAUAACCCAUGUGUUGAACUGUGUCGGGUUUGUUUGCCCGGAAUAUUUCAAGAAUGAGCUCGUGUACAAGACACUUUGGCUGCAGGACAGCCCGUCUGAGGAUAUCACGAGCAUUUUCUAUGAUGUUUUUGAUUAUUUUGAAGAUGUUAGAGAACAAGGUGGGCGUGUCCUUGUUCACUGUUGCCAAGGGGUAUCUCGAUCGACCUCGUUGGUUAUUGCUUAUCUUAUGUGGAAAGAGGGACAAAGCUUCGAGGACGCGUUCCAGCUUGUUAAAGCAGCAAGAGGAGUGACUAACCCGAAUUUGGGAUUUGCCUGUCAACUUCUGCAGUGCCAGAAGCGGGUACACGCCCUGCCGGCAAGCCCAUCUUCUGUGCUUCGUAUGUAUCGAAUGGCACCUCACUCUCCGUAUGAUCCACUUCAUCUGGUUCCCAAACUGUUGAGCGAGCCGGGCUCAGAAAAACUCGAUUCUCGUGGAGCUUUCAUUGUUCACGUACCUUCAGCGAUAUUCGUCUGGAUGGGGAAGCAUUGCUUCAAAGUAAUAUCAGACAAAGCCAGAUCAGCUGCCUCUCAAGUCAUCCAUUACGAAAGAGCCAAAGGUCCGGUUAUAACCAUCAAUGAAGGUGAAGAAACAUCUGAAUUCUGGGUUGCUCUUGGCUUGCAGAAUCGUUUAGCAGAUGUUUGUGGAAUAGAGAUAACGGAGGAGGACAGGAUUGGCCGUUCAAUCCGUCCGGGGCAAAGGAAAGUUGAUGAGUAUGAUCAAGAUUUCAGAAUUUUUUUCAAAGCACUAUCCGGUGGGAUCAUUCCACCUUUUCCAUUAUCAGGAAGUGGUUCCGAGACAAGUAUACCUGCUAGAGAAAAUGGUUGGAGCAGAUUGAGAAGAAAGUUGACCAGUGGAAUUAUGAAAGAAUAUAUCACGUCUUCGAAAUUGAACUGUAAUUUGACUCAGGCAAGUGAUAAACGGGAUGUGAUAGAUACACGUAAAUUUCCAUUGCCUUCGAGUCCUCAGUGCGAUUCACCUGAUUCGCUUGCUACAUACGAAACUGGCAGCCCUGUUGCGAUAAUGGAGAAAGUGGAAUACUCCGUUCCUCUUACUGAUACUGUAACAUCACCAUCUCCUUCGCUCAAUUCAUUGGAUUCUUUUAGUUCUUAUCUUGUGAGCAAACCGAAAUCCAGUUCAACAUCCCCAUUGCUCUCACCUUCAACAUCCGAUUAUUCAAGUUCAUUUACCUUUUCACCCUCAUCGUCUAACUGGUCAGACUUGCCAUAUUUAUCGGCUCAGCCUUCACCUUCUGGUCUUGAGUCUAAAGAUCCUGUUAAGAGCGGUACCUCAGAGGAAAGUGCGCUUUUACCUCUUCAUGUUUCUUCCCCUCCGCCAGAAGCAGCAUGUUCCGGUAGUCGUGCUUUCAGAACGGCAAGUUUGUCAUUUAGAAGAAGGUCACCCUCCCUUGCAGAGCGCAGAGGAAGUAGUCCUCCUCCUUGGAUGAUGUUACCUCAAGUGGACGAGGCAUCUAAUGCUUCAACCAAUUCGACAAAUUUGUCUUCUUAUGUAGAAGAUGAAAUUAUGCAGGAUGUUGAAUACAACGUAGAACAUGAUGGAUCUUCAGAGACAAAUAGAGAAGAGCCAAUGUAUGAUGCUCGCAGCUAUACUGCUGACAAUAAUCCAUUUGAGUUUUGACGACUACAGUGCUGAUGUUUUAUACGUCCGUUUGGGACACGAUGUGCAGUGGAAGCGAACCAUCCAUCAGUUGAUUGGUAAUGAUAGCACAUGUGAAGACAGUCGUACCUAUUCUGAGAUGGUUGGUCAUGUUUUUCUCAUGGAGAAGGGCUUAAGUGCUAACACUUCCAUUCAGGUACUUGUUGCACCCCUAUAGAUGAAAGGCACCGACUCGUAAACAAAUUAGUUGUGCAAAUGUAAAUGCUUUCUUGUCAUGUCAACGCCUAUAUACUUGUACUCGGAUCUAAUCUCCUCUGUUGACAGGAGCUAUAAUGUAGCACCUAAUCUCCUCCGUUGACAGGAGCUAUAAUGUAGCAUGUUGCCAUACCCACAGUGGACAUUAUAACUCCCAUCCACGAUGAGCAAGAGAUCAACCCUAUACUUCAAUUAUUACUUACUCCAUGCUAUUCCUUUUUCUCGUGCAUUCUCGAACUAUGUCAAUGCGUGUUAUGUGUUAUAAGAUAAGAGAAACUCUUCCUAAAGCUUUUAUAAUAUUACGUUGGCCUUUGUUCGAACAAAGAAGUUCUCGUGCCCAAUCUUAGCUUCGAGUCUCUUAAUAAUUUGUAUAGAUGUAUAGACGUCGUGCUGCCAUGUAUGCUUCUGUCUAUAUAUAUAUAUAUAUAUAUAUAUAUAUAUAUAUAUAUAUAUAUAUAUGAUGGUUUUGAUAUAAAUUCUUCCAAAUGUGGAAUUGCAGAUAGUUAAUGAAGAAUCAUUGCAGUUCCUCAAGCAUUUUGCCUUUGGAAGGAAUUGCAGACAUAGUUAAAGAAGGUGAGGAACCGGUUCAGUUCCUCCCCCACCUUUUUCUCGUUUAAUAUAGACUUGACAAUACUGUGUACUAGACUUGCUUGUACUAGACAUGCGCUAAGGACAUUAUAGGGAAUAAGUUAUAGGAAUUAUGAGAACAAAAGAUUCUGCUUAUUCUUGGUUCAUUAAAUGUUAUGUACAUUCAGAUUCAGCACCUAAGUUGUAGUUUUUUAAAGUACAAUUAUAGAGCACUAUUUUACUAGCAUUUUGUCUUAUCAAUUUUA